GCUGGGGUGGUGAAAUAGCAGACACGCUAGCCUUAGGAGCUAGUGCCGCAAGGCGUGGGGGUGCAAGUCCUCUCCCCAGCACAA
rnacentral:tRNA from 1 species